GUUUCUCAGGACUAGAGAUGCAAGUUUAAGUGAUAGUUACUCAAACACACAAUGGGAUUUAUAUUCUCCAAGAAAUCCAGCAAUGUUUAAUUUAUUGGGUGAUCUGAUUCACUUGCGUUGUCUUCUCUACCUGGCACCUAACAAAAUGUUCCACAAGAAUACACGGGUGGGUGGAUGGAUGUCAAGGUCAUGGCUAUUAUUGAAGCUUGAGGUGACUUGCAAAGGAGAUAAAUCCAAUGGGUGCCUGACAGAGUCAAGGGCGCCUAUGCUGUUUUAUCAUAACUCAUCUUGGUGGAUCAUUUCAUAGAUCAAGUUACCUGAUCGGUAGAACGAGAACCUGUCUCAAAGUAAGUAUGCAAUGGCAUCAGCCUCUUAUCUGUGUUGCUGUGAUUCUGGUAAUCAUGGCAAUGAUAAUCCAAAUGAACCAGAAUAGUCCAACACGUAAAUAUGAAUGAGUUGACCAGGGUCACAAAAAAGUUUACCGCUUGCUCCAAAUUCAGAUUCUCUGAUUCUAAAUGUGAAGCUCUCUGCCCCAUUUCACAAUAAUUCAGAGAAUGGUGAUACUGUAUUUACUUGGAUAAUUAAGGUUUAAAAAGUUCAGGAUAUAUUUGUAUUUUGCUUAUUCAACUGAAUGGCCUAACCAUCAAUUUGACUGGGUGAAUGUCCUGACCAUUUCACUUUAACUCCUCAUAUAAGUUUAUACUUUACUUCUGUGCAAUUCCUUUGAAUUCAUUUUCUC
rnacentral:lncRNA from 1 species